rnacentral:lncRNA from 10 species
CAGUAAUAACUGUCAAAGGGUGAGGCUGGUGAAAGGGCCAGAGCUACACAGAGGAUCUAUCACAUGAUCAGCUUCCUGACAGCCCUCUGGGGAGCUCUUUUGUCACCAACACAAGCACCUGAGUGGAUGCCUUGGAUCAACGGACAGGGAACUUGGGAAUCAGCUUCUUGGGGCAAGAUCACCUCUUCUAUUUGACCCAUAUGGAUCCAGGGGCCUGAGGAAUGAAGAUUAGAUUGGAUUGGAUAGGAUUGGAUUAGAAGCCUUGUGGAGUGGCUUGACACAUGGGUUUUGGAGGCAGCCUACCUACGGACAAAUGGUAUGAAGAAGGACGGGGAAAAGUGAGCUGGGGCAGAUGGAAGCCUCAAGUCUGACAAAGUGAAUCUUUCAUCCUCUUCACAAUACCUAGGAUGUCUUGUAUCCUGGGAGAUACAAGGCAUUUUUUUGUUGUUGCCUCAGUUUUUAAUGUUCAAAUGCUGCUGUGGCUAAGAGUAAGGCUGCAGAUUCUCUGUGCUGCCAUCUUGAAUUCCCACCUGCUCUCCCUCUUGGGAUCCUUUUGACCUCCACAAUAUUUAUCUGCUAAGAGACAAUGAGGCCAUGAGUCCUGCAGCCCACACUUCUUCAGACAAUUUAUAUUUUUGGAUGAGAUCUCCAGAAGGGCAUUGCUCACCUCUUCUAUAUUUUGCAAACAAUUCUAGAAUCUUAAUCAAAGAACCAUUGGCUACACAUUGGCUACACACUGGCUACAUUGCUCAAAAAGUUGGCAUUUUAGGGACAACGUACUCCGCUUGAGAUCCAAGCUGGUGGAGUUUUUCUUUGCUUAGUAUCCUCCACCAUCUAGGUUUUAAACUAGAUGUUGUUUGGCAGGUGUGUCCCAUAGCUUUCGGUUUGUGGUGGUGCUUCCCUUGUGUCAUCUUCUCUCUUAUUCUCAUUCCUUUUUAAAAAUGUUAUUAUUUUUGGUAGGUUUAAGAGUUGAGCAUCAAGCAAAAAUGUACUUUCUUAACCAUCUUCAAAUGAACAAUUCCUGUGACUUUUAGAUUAAGAGAGAUGAUAAUCUAGGGCUUCUAUAUCUCCCGAUUUUAAUUGUAAGACAGAUGCAAAUUUAGCUUAAGAAUUUAGGCUAAGAGCCAAGGGAUCGUAGGAUCAAUAUUUAUAUGUGGCCCAAAUAAGUUUUGUCAGGAGGAAUUUGAGCAUAACAAUGAUAAUAUUGACUAUAGCUGCUUGAAUGCCUAUGAUGGUCCAGGAGCUUGGUUGAUGCUUUGCUUAUUUCAAUUCAAAUCCAAACAAGAACCUGCAGCCCACACUUCUCCAGACAAUUUAUAUUCUUGGAUGGGAUCUCCAGAAGGACAUUGCCACCUCUUCUAUAUUUUGCAAACAAUUCUAGAAUCUUAAUCAAAGAACCACUGGCUACACAUAGGCCACAUUGCUGAGGUGAGGUUUGUUAACCCCAUUUUACCAGAGGAAAAAGAGAAAAGUGAGAAUAUGAAAGAUCAGGUGCCUGGAUGAUAAAUCACUGAGCUUGCAUUCAAAAUCAAGUGACUUUCACUUCCUGAUUCCUCCUCCUAUUUUUCUCUAUAGACAAUAUGUGAAGUCUAAAAAUAAAAUUUUAAUUCAGUAGAAGUUUCAGCAAACCCUAGUAAUUUCUUUUUCCUCAUGCCCUUUGCUUUGAGUUUAAUCUCUGUGGCUAUUUUAGCGGCACCUCAUGGGUACUUUUCCCUGGGCUCACUUAUUAUCAGUGUCCAUUCACUAACCAGUGUAUAACGGGAACUGUUAAGUGUGCCUGGAUGAGAAGGGGGCUUUUUUUGUACUUUUAUAGCUAUUAUUGAUGGGUUCAAUAAUUUGGUCUAUUUCCAAUCAAUAUGUUCUAUGCUAGGCUGAAGAGAACCAACUUCAAAAACUUUGUAAAGUUGAACUCUGGCCACAGCAUCCUUUCACUCACUCAGCAAUUGCAAAUAACACAAUGAGAGUGAUUACACACUGUCUUCAUCUUCACAUUCUCUCACUUCCUCAUGGUACAUCUCCUAACCCAGUUUCUUUUCUUGCUGUAUCUGGUGUCGGCUGAGGGGAUAACCUACCACCUGGUUAGGAGAACUGCCCCUCCAGCCCUCCUCUGUGUAUUGAUCUCCAGCAUUCAGUGGGUUCACAGGUGUCUGCCCGCAGAGUCUCUGCUUUGCUUUUGUCAUGGAGGCACGGUGUUCCUUGAGUUCCCAUCUUCUCUAAGAAGUUUCCACUUGUAUCCUCAGUAUCCAGUCCAGAAACCAGCAAAAAAUUGAUUGUCUAGAGAAUGUUUCCUGCAGGGCAUCAUGAAAAAGCUAAUAUUUAUAGAACACUCUUUGAAAAAACGGCUUCAUGAUUAAAGAGUGGUGGGAGAGGGAACCUGACUGCUUUGUAGCUCCUAAGCCUGCCACACCGUGGGCAGACACCCGUGAACCUACUGAAGGUUGGAGAUUAAUACACAAGAGGAUGGGUGGAGAGGGAGUUCUCCUAACUGCUCCUUGCAGGACCUGACUGUAGCUUCCAGGGUUCCACCCUAGCAGCAGUUCUCUGGGAGGCCAAUCUCAUUACCAGUGGUUCUCAACAUCAAGAUGGUGUGUUGCCAUAUCCAGACCUUGAGUGGACUUUCCAAUGAUCAAGAAGUCAAGUAACCUCUCUCUUCAUGGCUGUUAAAAACUUCGGCCAACAUAGCAUACUCAGUACAGGAUUGGAUUGAGGCAAUGAUACUGUGCUAUAAAAGUGAGAGGCCAUCAUGCAUUUAUACCCACAUCUUGACACAUACACGUC